rnacentral:rRNA from 1 species
CAAGAGCGUAUGUAAAAGUUGUUGCAGUUAAAAAGCUCGUAGUUGAACCUUGGGUUUGGUUGGCCGGUCCGCUUUUUUGCGAGUACUGGAUUCAACCGAGCCUUUCCUUCUGGCUAACCAGUCGUUUCGGCGGCUGGCGAACCAGGAUUUUUACUUUGAGAAAAUUAGAGUGUUCAAAGCAGACAUUAGCUUGAAUAUAUUAGCAUGGAAUAAUAGAACAGGACGUUAUGGUUCUAUUUUGUUGGUUUCUAGGACCAUCGUAAUGAUUAAUAGGGACGGUCGGGGGCAUCAGUAUUCAGUUGUCAGAGGUGAAAUUCUUGGAUUUACUGAAGACUAACUACUGCGAAAGCAUUUGCCAAGGACGUUUUCAUUAA